rnacentral:tRNA from 1 species
GGAAGGGUGGCCGAGUUGGUUAUGGCGCCAGGUUAAGGUCAGCUUAACAUCUGUUUCCUGGUGGGGCCGCGCGAGUUCGAGUCUCGUCCCUUUCA